rnacentral:rRNA from 1 species
CACGUAGUUAGCCGGUGCUUAUUCUUCAGGUACCGUCAUCCUCCCGGGGUAUUAGCCCAGAAGAUUUCUUCCCUGACAAAAGCAGUUUACAACCCGAAGGCCUUCUUCCUGCACGCGGCAUUGCUGGAUCAGGCUUGCGCCCAUUGUCCAAAAUUCCCCA